rnacentral:rRNA from 1 species
GAUGAACGCUGGCGGCGUGCCUAGUACAUGCAAGUCGAGCGAACGGACGAGAAGCUUGCUUCUCUGAUGUUAGCGGCGGACGGGUGAGUAACACGUGGAUAACCUACCUAUAAGACUGGGAUAACUUCGGGAAACCGGAGCUAAUACCGGAUAAUAUUUUGAACCGCAUGGUUCAAAAGUGAAAGACGGUCUUGCUGUCACUUAUAGAUGGAUCCGCGCUGCAUUAGCUAGUUGGUAAGGUAACGGCUUACCAAGGCAACGAUGCAUAGCCGACCUGAGAGGGUGAUCGGCCACACUGGAACUGAGACACGGUCCAGACUCCUACGGGAGGCAGCAGUAGGGAAUCCUCCGCAAUGGGCGAAAGCCUGACGGAGCAACGCCGCGUGAGUGAUGAAGGUCUUCGGAUCGUAAAACUCUGUUAUUAGGGAAGAACAUAUGUGUAAGUAACUGUGCACAUCUUGACGGUACCUAAUCAGAAAGCCACGGCUAACUACGUG